UCGAUGUGACCGGCGUGCUCGUCAAUGACACCUUGGCCUUCGGAACCUCCGGCGAGUUGGCAGAGGUUGCUGGAGUCGUCUUUGGCUGCGCGCACACCAGCUAUGGGUUCAACAGCCAUGAAGUGCUCGCUGGUGCACUCGGCCUGGGAAGGCACAAGCCAUCGCUCAUUUGGACGCUCGGGCAACACAGGCAUGGCGCCGUGCAACUGUGCAAGUGCAUCGCUUCUCCUACUGUCUUCCUAGGCGCGGCUCGCCGGACCACCGCACCUUCCUACGGUUCGGCGACGACGUCCCGAGCACCCAACACAUGGUGAGCACCCAGAUCACGCCCGGCCAAGAUUUCAGCGCCUACUUCGUGUUAGAGGUAAUCUUGAUUGAUAAGAUGUAUACGUGAGGUCCAAGUACUAGUACGUUAGCAAGGUUAGUUUGGCUGGUUGGGUCCGGCUGUAGUAGGCUAUAGGAUAAUUAGUAGUAUUACAACUGCACGAGCAUUGGUACAUGUCCAAGUCAUAGGAGAGUCCGGUCAGGAUCUGUAUCAUGUGUGUCCGUGUAGGUGUAGGACACGGUCUAGUAAGACUGCGUUGGUUGUGUAUAUAAACAUAGCCAAGCCGUGAGUUUUGUAACACGGUGUCGAGAAAAGCAGAAAAUAUAAAGGAAAACAAAGGGCACUACAAGGGCUUUUGGCUAUCAGUUUUGUGUACGCGUGUUCAUUGUAAUUUAAUGUGAUCGAUCCUCUGGCAGAAUUCCAACACUUCGUCACCCUCGUGGGCGUCAGCGUCGCCGGGCGGCCGCUGCAGCAUAUCAGGGAGCUGUUCGAGCGCCACUUGUACCCCUGGGGGUGGACCGGCGAAGUUGUGUUCGAUGUUGGGACGCCAUCGAUGAUGCUGAUAAGCACAGCUUACCAUAAGCUGGAGAACGCCGUGCUAGAGCACCUCAAGCCGCUCGGGGUGUCGCGCGUGCGCCACGCCGGAUACUACCUCUGCUUCCGUGCGACGUCGCACCUAUGGCAGCACCUGCCGACGGUGACACUGCACUUCGCGGAGGAGAACGCACGGCUCGUUCUCACACCACAACGGCUGUUCAUUGCGGUGGGGCAUGACAUCUGCCUCGCCGUGCACUCGAGCCUGGACAUCACCAUCAUCGGCGCAAUGCAGCAAGUGGACACGCGCUUCGUCUACGACGUCAUCGCAGGAAGGAUCUACUUCGCCCCUGAGAAUGCGUGCCAUGCGGAUCUCGGCGGACACAUUUAAUUCAUUCAUCUUUUUGUGUUCUGAAUUUGAAGUGGUCAACUAGAGUAAUCAUCAUCCGUGAAAAUAAAAAUACAAGUGACCAUUCGGAUGUGAACUAGUAAUCUUCUGCUUACCAGUUUCCUGGCUGCUCCCCAUUACAUAAGCACGUGUAAACUUGAGGACAGGUAAGAACACCAUGAGGAGGGGCCUGUUUUUCUUCUGGCUUCUUCAUCCGGUGGAUCCAAAGCAUAAGGUCUUGUAGGAUGUUCUUGAGGGUGGUGAUGUUGUGGUCAUUCUGCUGCCUGAAGGUCAUGGUAUUCCUAGAAUCCCAUAUCUUCCACAGAAUGAUGAGCAAUAUUGAGUUCCAGAUUCUGUGAUCAGUGUCCGCGGGUAUGUGGCAAUCCCAAAGAUCGUCGAUGCAGCCGUUGGGAGUGAUGCCAAGUCUGAGCCAUACACGCCUCGCUAGGGGGCAGUUGAUGAAAAUGAGUGUGAUGUCUUCGCUGUCGAACCCGAAUCUUGUGCAUAGGGCGUCAGAAACAAUAUGCUUACGCAAGAGAUUGGCCUUACAGUUUAGCCGACAACGAAAUAGGAGCCAUGCGAAAAUCUUGACCCGAUUGGGGGCUCGUGAUGUCCAGAUAGGCAUGGAGUGGAGGUCCACCAAGUCCUCUCUCAGGGUGAGCUCGUAUGCUGCUUUAGUGGAGAAAGGUAGGCCGCUAAUGAGGAAGUGCUCAUCUGGUUCUUGCGAUGGCUGAAAGUCUUGCAAUAAAGACAACAAAGACAACAACUUGGACGCAACAUUAGAGGUUAGGCGAGUCCGCAGGAAAGAUUCUAAACCUUGAUUCAAAACAGCAGCCACGCAAGCAAGUGGGAGAGUGGCGUGUGAGUAUAGGUAGGGGAACAAUUCUGCAAGUGGUCUAUGAUGUAGCCAAGUAUCUAGCCAAGAAUAUGUGUUGGUCCCAGAGUUGGUCAGAACAAAGGAAAUGGGAUGUAGGAAGGGGAGUUGUUGGUUAAUGGUUCUGCAGAGAAAGGAUUGGUUGCUUUGUGGGUUAAUAAGAGCAUUGGGGUGUUGGAGAGCAAGUCAGUCAAGCCAUGGUGUGCGUUGUGGUAGUAAAGCUUUGGCGGCAAAUUUCAUGAGGAGAGAGCGAUUUUGUUGUGGCAGAUUCUUCAGUCCUAGACCACCAAAUUUCUUCGGUUUUCAAACAUCUUUCCAACCAACUAGACAGUCAGUACCCGUGCAUGUUUCUUCAGCAUCCCAAAACAAAGCGCGGCGGAUCGAAUCCAGAGUUGUGAGUACACUUUUCGGGAUGAGAAAGACGGACAUAAAGUAAACCAGGGUGGAUUCAAUUACUAUGAUAGGACGAUUAGUCGACUAUCGCUUUAGAGAGCAGUCGAGCGGCCAAUCGGAGAGAACUUUUUUGCAUUUGUCGAUAAUAGAUAGAAAUGCAUUGGCGGGUAGGCGAGUAGGCGCUAGAGGGAGUCCUAGGUAGAUCCGCGGGAAAGAGGAGACUGGGCAUUGUAGGGUGGAUGCAAUGAAGGAAGCAAUGUCAGGCGUGACAUGUAGGGUGGUUUUUGUGGUCGUGCAUUUUUAAUUUAUAUUUACAAGUAAACUCAAUUAAGCAUCGGCACAACCAAAGGUGAUCUUUGCACCUAUACAGUUUCUAUGGAUCACUGCAAAGCACAAACAUUUCUCAACUUGUAAAAUGGAUUUCCUCGAACUAUAGGUUUUUGGCCUAAUUGCUCACAAAUAGUUAAAUUCUGCAACAAAAUAUUACUAGUAUAACGUAGGGUGGGAUACAUUUAUCGAGCAAUAUAUAUUGAGUUUGUCAUAGAUACACAGAAUUCCCUAUUUGACGGCGUUUCAUCAAAUUACUGGGCAACAAACCCGGCCUCUGCAUAACUAGAAUGGAAAAAAAAUGUACCCAUUGGGUAGGCCGGGUACGGGUAUGGAACGCAUACACCCGGUCUCUGUAUAAUUAAUUAGAAUGCACAUAGCCAACCCAACACACACACACGAAAACACACCAGCGACUAGUAAAGUCAUAAGAGCAAAAGUUAUGCCUUGGCAUGAAAAAAGAAAAAGAAAAAGAAAAAGAAACCGCCCCAAAUCAAUCAAAUCAGCGAUCGACAAACUAUAUUUAAGAUCAUAUCGGCACCAACCGUUGGCACCACAUUGAUGAUGAGGAUUUUCCACACCACCGCCUUCCGGAAGAAAGCGACACUCAAGUGCCGCCGUCACCAAAUCCAAUCACAAAGGUCAGAAUGAAAGUUUUCACCUUGAUGAAACAGUUUGAACUAAAUCUAUGCAUGGAUAGCCCGGCCCAGAGGCCUGACCCCCAAAGCCCAGCAUCCGGGCCAGGCCUGGGCUCCAUUUUUUGGCCCAAAGACCGGCCCAAAAGCCCGGAAUAAGCCCCAAAUGCCCAUAAAAUCUAGAUUUUAUUUGGAAUAUAGAUAUAGUUUAUUAUUUUAAUACCCCAAAUAUUAUUAUUUUAAUUGAAAAUGUCACUGUUCCUGUGCUUCGGGCCGGGCCAGGUGCCCGGGCCCAACCUGGCCCAGCCCGAGGAAUGAUCAGGUCUAGACUGAACGUAUCUGAGCAAUGCCUCCAACAAAAUAACGACAUAAAAAACAUCACCAUUGUCAGGGAUGACCACUCGGGUCUGACCUGGUUCGCCCUGGACCUCGAGACCAGGUGCUCGCAGAACCACCAACCCAGCAGCUUCAAUUUAAUUGCCGCCACUCCAGAAGCAUCUCUACUAUCUAUCACUCUUUCUGAUUUGCACCAUUAAUUCAAGAAUGGCAUGAAUUAAUUUGUGCGUAUUUCCUCCAUAGGUAUCUGUAAGGGAUAUGCAGUUUUUUUUGCCUCUAUCUAUCACUCUUUUCGAUUUGCAGCAUUAAUUCAAGAAUGGCAUGAAUUAAUGUGUGUGUAUCUCCUCCCUAGAUAUCUGCAAGGGACAUGCAGCAAACCCUCCACUCCAAUAUACACACACGUCAAAUCUGGAUUUACGAGCCAACAAGCAUUGCUGCAACAGAAAUGUCCAUGAAGCUCGCCGCGUGCUCUCUCCUCCUUCCUCUAGUGCUUGCGGCGCUCCUCCACCCGGCUGAUGUCGUCGCUGUAGGUGAUGGCACACCAGACCGCGGUGGCGGUGGCUUCAGCCUGCGGCUGGUACCCAGCCACGGCUGGAACCGUAGCAUCCACGUCGACGACGACGGCUUCGUGCACCUGAAUGAGCACCCCACCACCGCGCUUCGGCCGCCCAUGCACACACAAAUUGGGGGCAAGUACAGCGUCGUCACCACCGUUGGGACGGGAGCGGGACGACGCACGUACGUCCUCGCGCUGGAUAUGACCAGCAGCGAACUGUGGAUGCAGUGCAAGCCGGUCCAAAAGCCUUUCGCACAGCAGCCGCCGCCCUUCGAGCCUGCCAAGUCGCCGUCGUUCCGCCAUGUACCCGGCAACAGCAGGUUAUGCUUGCCGCCCGCUCAUGGGCAUCGGCCCACAGUUCAAGACCCAUGCAAGUUUCGUAGCUUCGGACUUAACGGCACCGAUGCGAGAGGCGUCCUGAGCAACGAGACCUUGGCCUUCGCGGCCGCCGGCCAGGAGGCGGAGGUUGCUGGCGUCGUCAUUGGCUGCACGCACAGCAGCGACGGCUUCAACUUCAACAGCCACGGAGUGCUCGCCGGGGUGCUCGGCCUGGGAAGGCAGGCCCCGUCGCUCAUCUGGACGCUCGGCCAACACAGGCAUGUUGCCGUGCAAGUGCAUCGCUUCUCUUACUGCCUCCCUAGCCACGGCUCGCCGGACCACCACACCUUUCUUCGGUUCGGCGACGACAUCCCACACACCCAACACAUGGUGAGCACCAAGAUCUUGUACACGAGCUUCACCACUAGCCGAGAUUUCAGCGCCUACUUCGUCUCCCUCACGGGCGUCAGCGUCGGCGGGCGGCAGCUGGACCUGGAGCAUAUCGGGGAGCUGUUCAAGCGCCACAUCCAUGGUGGCAGGUGGACCGGCGGGUGCGCGUUCGAUGCUGGGACUGCGGCAAUGGUGAUGGUAGCGCCCGCUUACGAAAAGCUCAAGGACGCCGUGUUGGAGCACCUCAAGCCGCUAGGGGUGCCAACCGUGUCCCGCGUCGAGUACCACCUCUGCUUCCGCACGACAUCGCAGCUCUGGCAGCACCUGCCCACGGUGACGCUGCAGUUCGCCGAGCCUGAAGCGCGGCUCGUGCUGCCGCCACAACGGCUGUUCGUCGCAGUGGGGCACGACAUCUGCCUCGCCGUGGUGCGGAGCAACGACAUCACCA
rnacentral:lncRNA from 1 species